rnacentral:rRNA from 1 species
GAGUUUGAUCCUGGCUCAGGACGAACGCUGGCGGCACGCCUAACACAUGCAAGUCGAACGGAGAUAUUUUGGUUUACUGAGAUAUCUUAGUGGCGGACGGGUGAGUAACACGUGAGCAACCUGCCUYUGAGAGAGGGAUAGCUUCUGGAAACGGAUGGUAAUACCUCAUAACAUAACGAAGCCGCAUGACUUUGUUAUCAAAGAUUUAUCACUCAGAGAUGGGCUCGCGUCUGAUUAGAUAGUUGGUGAGGUAACGGCUCACCAAGUCGACGAUCAGUAGCCGGACUGAGAGGUUGAACGGCCACAUUGGGACUGAGACACGGCCCAGACUCCUACGGGAGGCAGCAGUGGGGAAUAUUGCACAAUGGGGGAAACCCUGAUGCAGCGAUGCCGCGUGGAGGAAGAAGGUUUUCGGAUUGUAAACUCCUGUCUAAAGGACGAUAAUGACGGUACUAGAGAGGU